GAUGAACGCUGGCGGCGUGCCUAAUACACGCAAGUCGAGCGAACAGACGAGGAGCUUGCUCCUCUGACGUUAGCGGCGGACGGGUGAGUAACACGUGGAUAACCUACCUAUAAGACUGGGAUAACUUCGGGAAACCGGAGCUAAUACCGGAUAAUAUAUUGAACCGCAUGGUUCAAUAGUGAAAGACGGUUUUGCUGUCACUUAUAGAUGGAUCCGCGCCGCAUUAGCUAGUUGGUAAGGUAACGGCUUACCAAGGCAACGAUGCGUAGCCGACCUGAAAGGGUGAUCGGCCACACUGGAACUGAGACACGGUCCAGACUCCUACGGGAGGCAGCAGUAGGGAAUCUUCCGCAAUGGGCGAAAGCCUGACGGAGCAACGCCGCGUGAGUGAUGAAGGUCUUCGGAUCGUAAAACUCUGUUAUUAGGGAAGAACAAAUGUGUAAGUAACUAUGCACGUCUUGACGGUACCUAAUCAGAAAGCCACGGCUAACUACGUG
rnacentral:rRNA from 1 species